AUUGAACGCUGGCGGCAGGCUUAACACAUGCAAGUCGAGCGGGGGAAGGUAGCUUGCUACCGGACCUAGCGGCGGACGGGUGAGUAAUGCUUAGGAAUCUGCCUAUUAGUGGGGGACAACAUCCCGAAAGGGAUGCUAAUACCGCAUACGUCCUACGGGAGAAAGCAGGGGAUCUUCGGACCUUGCGCUAAUAGAUGAGCCUAAGUCGGAUUAGCUAGUUGGUGGGGUAAAGGCCUACCAAGGCGACGAUCUGUAGCGGGUCUGAGAGGAUGAUCCGCAACACUGGGACUGAGACACGGCCCAGACUCCUACGGGAGGCAGCAGUGGGGAAUAUUGGACAAUGGGGGGAACCCUGAUCCAGCCAUGCCGCGUGUGUGAAGAAGGCCUUAUGGUUGUAAAGCACUUUAAGCGAGGAGGAGGCUACUUUAGUUAAUACCUAGAGAUAGUGGACGUUACUCGCAGAAUAAGCACCGGCUAACUCUGUGCCAGCAGCCGCAGUAA
rnacentral:rRNA from 1 species